AUUCUUACCUGGCAGGGGAGAUACCAUGAUCACAACCAUGGUCUUCCCAAGAAGAGGUUUACCCAUUGCACUCCGGAUAUACUGGCCACUGCAAUUUCUCCAAAUAUGGGGAACUCAAAUGCAUAAUUUAUGGUAAUGGGGGCCUGAGUUCAUGCUCUCCCCUG
rnacentral:snRNA from 1 species